rnacentral:rRNA from 1 species
AGACGAAUGGUGCAAGCGUUGUUCGGAAUCACUGGGCAUAAAGGGCACGCAGGCGGUUAUGUCAGUCAGAUGUGAAAGCCCCGGGCUUAACCUGGGAACUGCAUUUGAUACUGCAUAGCUAGAGUUUGGUAGAGGGGAGUGGAAUUCCCGGUGUAGCGGUGAAAUGCGUAGAGAUCGGGAGGAACACCAGUGGCGAAGGCGGCUCUCUGGACCAAAACUGACGCUGAGGUACGAAAGCGUGGGUAGCAAACAGGAUUAGAAACCCCGGUAGUCC